AACGCACAUUGCGCCCCUUGGUAUUCCGAGGGGCAUGCCUGUUCGAGCGUCAUUACACCACUCAAGCUAUGCUUGGUAUUGGGUGCCGUCCUUAGUUGGGCGCGCCUUAAAGACCUCGGCGAGGCCUCACCGGCUUUAGGCGUAGUAGAAUUUAUUCGAACGUCUGUCAAAGGAGAGGAACUCUGCCGAUUGAAACCUUUAUUUUUCUAGGUUGACCUCGGAUCAGGUAGGGAUACCCGCUGAACUUAA
rnacentral:misc_RNA from 1 species